rnacentral:lncRNA from 1 species
CGAGCAGGGACCACACAGCCAGAAAACUCUCCUUCUGAAGAAAGGCCACGCCUCCACUCCAAUGACAAGCUUGCUAAUUAAAAUCACAAUUAAAACCAGCAGGGAAGCUGGAGAGCAGGGGAGUAAAACGCCCUUCCCCAGAAACAGAAACACUCAAGCCUGACUCAUGCAGGAUAUAUCAGAUUUUCUCCAGCAGGCAUUUGGAGAAAAGAAAAGAAAUUCAAGUCCAGGCCACCUUCCAUCUACUGACCCAGUAAACUCCAUGUCUGAGUCGGUGACACAUCCCUGAGUCGCAGCCACCUCAGCAGAGUCCCGGUGCUGGACGAGCCAGCUUGGCUUCCGGUGCGUGGAAACAUUUGCCUCUGAGUUUUUCGGCAAAGGAAAGUCUCCAAAUCUCCCCAGUUCCAGCAUUGCUAUGCCUGGCACCUUUUGUUCCUGGAAAGAACCUCAAGACCACCCAGAAUUUCUACAACAGGAAUGUUCUACAAGGUCCCUGUGCUGUGCUGAGACCAGGUGCCAAAAAACACCAGCUUGAAAAAAAAACGAUCUGACAGUUUGGGCCGCGCUAACCACUGGUUUUUACUUCACUGACACAGAAUGUGGAAGAUGUUUGGUAAAACUAAAGGUGAUCAUAAAACUAUAAACACAAAACAAACAAACAAAAAACCCACCAAAGUUUUAGCUCGUGGACAGCUCAAGCAGGCUCCUGGUUUCCUCUAAGAGAGCAGAGAGACUGCAAGUGAAAAGAACUUAAGCUUUUCAACUGAUGUGAGUGUGGAAGGCAAAACUGGACUGGUUGUAUGCAGUUGGAGGCUGGAUACUAUGUUUCAUUUCGAGAACAUAUAAUUAAAAAGAUAUCUGGAGGCCCACACACUCUUGCUACAUUAGGAGCUCGGUGAAGCUCAGGAAAACAGAGCUCCUGCCCUACCAGCAUCCUAAAUGUUAGUCAACCUACACAAAUCCUUGGCAGAAAAGUUGAGACAAUGCAAAUGAACUCUGUUGUCACUCUAGACUGAAUCACAAAGGAAGGAAGAAUACUAUUUGAUUCAAAACAUUCUUAUUUGAGGGAGAAGAAAUCAUAAUGCACAUCACCACUAAAC